rnacentral:rRNA from 1 species
UGGGGAAUUUUGGACAAUGGGCGAAAGCCUGAUCCAGCAAUGCCGCGUGUGUGAAGAAGGCCUUCGGGUUGUAAAGCACUUUUGUCCGGAAAGAAAUCCUUGGCUCUAAUACAGUCGGGGGAUGACGGUACCGGAAGAAUAAGCACCGGCUAACUACGUGCCAGCAGCCGCGGUAAUACGUAGGGUGCAAGCGUUAAUCGGAAUUACUGGGCGUAAAGCGUGCGCGGGCGGUUUGCUAAGACCGAUGUGAAAUCCCCGGGCUCAACCUGGGAACUGCAUUGGUGACUGGCAGGCUAGAGUAUGGCAGAGGGGGGUAGAAUUCCACGUGUAGCAGUGAAAUGCGUAGAGAUGUGGAGGAAUACCGAUGGCGAAGGCAGCCCCCUGGGCCAAUACUGACGCUCAUGCACGAAAGCGUGGGGAGCAAACAGGAUUAGAUACCCUGGUAGUCCACGCCCUAAACGAUGUCAACUAGUUGUUGGGGAUUCAUUUCCUUAGUAACGUAGCUAACGCGUGAAGUUGACCGCCUGGGGGAGUACGGUCGCAAAGAUUAAAACUCAAAUGAAUUGACGGGGUCAUAGCUGUUUCCU